GGGGGACUGAAUUCGUCCCUUUGUUUUGUCAGUGACUGUCCCUACCAUCUGGCAGAUGUACAUGGCCUGGGGGAGGGAAUAAAGUAUUUAAAGGCUAGAGAAGACUAGAGAAGGCUCCAUGUAUGGGGCCACAGGGAAGCACUUACUGAUUUGGGCUAAAGCUUUUCAAGUAUAGCAGGUUUGGAAAGGAGUGCCCACAUCUCUGAUCUUGGAAGAAUGGUCGAUGCUGAUUUAUGCUUCCUCCGGGGAAUGAAUCUUAGCAACAGCUCACUUCUAUGCAAUUUGUGGUGUAUGUGUGUAUGCCUGUGUGAGAUUAUGUGCACCACAUUCAUGAGCGUGUCCAAGGAAGCCAAAAAGGACAUUGGAUCACCUUGGAAUUUGUGGAAGUUGUAAGCCACUGAAUGUGGCUGCUGAGAAACAAACACUGGCUCAUUGGAAGAGCACUAAUCACUCUUUAAUAGGUCUCUGUGGAGAAAAUGUGUGGGUUCUACACCAGCAAUUUUACUUUCAUGGGUCUGGAAUUUGGCCCGAGAAUGUAAGAUUUUUAAGUAUAUUUUUUUGUGAGGUCAUCAAUGCUAAACCAGAACAUGAACCACACAGGUCAGAGCUCAUAAUAGACAGAAAAAGUGGCUGUAGUGAUUUAGCACAUUGGCAAGCACAGACACCCAAGGUCACCACAGAAAGGUAUGAUUCAUAGUAAAUAAAUAUUGUUAAAAUGGGUUCAUUGGAUUGGAGUGAAUGUUUAGAUGGUCUUCUUCCCAGUUUUGCAAAUGUGUUGAACACUGAAAGAAUUCUUCAAUACUACUUCAAAUAUAUUUUAACCUUUUUUCUUUACACAUCUAACAUUUUAGUUUGUGUCAUACUUGUGUACAUGGGUAACUUGGCUUCUAACAUGUAAAAUCUUUGAUAGUAAAUGUUAUGAUUUAUUUUUCCCAGUAAUAUUUUUAUCUUUUAUCUUUUAAAAAAUAGCAUAUGGCAUCAUUCAAUAUACUUUUGUUUAAUGAACAAAUAACUGAAUGCACAGAAGUAAAAAUCCAUGGAAAUUAUGGCUCUGAGCUUAAGCUUCUGGAGUCCAGUAUUGAUAUAGUAAAAUGUAUGUGACUCAAGGAAUGUUAAGUAAAGAUAAUCUUGAAAAGUUGAGAAACUCCAAAGUUUUCAUUGUCUUGCAUGAGACAUGCUGAUUCCUACAAUAAUCAUUAUAGUAAUCAAUGUUGUCUUCAUGCAUGUUGACAAACUCUCAUAAAAAUAAAAACUCAAGGCAGAACACAUUUUUUAUUGUUCUGUGGCACUGAGCAUAAUAACUAAUCCAGGACAAAAUGACUAUUUCCUAUGAGUAAUUAAUUAGGCAUUAAACAACUGUGUAUUGUUGGUAUCAAGUGUUUUUUGUCAUCAGAUUUCAAAAGAACUUUUUAUCUUGUUUCUGUAUGGGGAUAAAGAAGUUCAAUAACCAUGAAUAUUGCAAAGUGAUUGUAAUUAAAACUUCAUGUGCUUGGCACCAAAGCAUGUUUCAAAGAUAGAACCAACUGUUAGUUGAUUUUGUUGUAAGCUUGUACCCAUGCAUGUUAAGAGCUGCUUAAUAAGCAUUACAUGUCAUUGAUUCUCAGCUACUUUGUGAGUAAUGAAAUGUCUCUCAGUUGUACAGUGGUAAUAUUUAAGGCAGAUGAGUUUGGUGCUACAUGCUUAUAAUCCUAGUACUUUUAACACUAAAGAAGGAAGCUAAUAAUGAAUUAAAGACCAACAAGAGCUACAUAGUAAGAUUUUUGUCUUAUUGGUAAGAUAUCCUAAUAUUCAAGAGAACGUCAAAUCUUUUUCUGUAUUCCUAAUAACACUUUCAUUUGGAAUAAAAUAAGCUUACCUGAAAGGUGGAAUUAGGCAAAUUUCAUCAUGUUGAAUAUUGUAUUCAUCAAUUUUGUACCAAAAUACAUGACAUGGAAUAGUAUCAAUAAAGUAUAGACAGAGGAUCAAGUGGGCCUCAGGGGUUUGGGAUUCUGUCAAAGGUGGGACAUCACAUAUCAGUAUGAGCCCAAAGCCAGAAACACAGGAUCACAUUUUGAGCAAGUAAUCAGAGAAACUAUCAUCUACUCAACUGACAUGUCUUUGUUCUUUCAAAAGAGUUACUACAGAGAAUAUAAAGACUACUGAUCUCCAUUUACCCAAGAUGUUCAAGAAACACAGAAUCAAAAUUUGAGGCAACAAUCAGAAAGAGAGCUCAUCACCAUCCUUUCUGAGAGCAUGCCUCAAAAUACCAAAGCAAGCAACUCUUAGAGACUUGUUUCCCAAUACUACCACUUUUGGGAGAAAGGCUAUGGAGAAUGCUCAUUUAAAUCAUGGAAGCAAAGAGAUUGUAUAUAUAGUACUAAUGAUAUAGAGUUACAUGGUGCUUAUCUUAAGCUUCUUGUAAAUUUAAGGAAAGACCACCUUUCAAGGUGUCCUUCAAGAUUAGGGUGAGUGUCCUUUUGCAGAGAAUAAUAGGAUUUUGGUGAGCAGUAACAGUGGUAUGUAUUAUAGAAUAUUGUUUUAACUAGGCAAAGAUGUGUUACAUUUGUUUAUGCUGUGGAAUAUUCCUUUA